AAUCUCCAGAGAACACCUUGAAGAGGGAGACAAAGAAGAUUUGGAAGAAAUUCCAGUGUAUCUUCUGCAUACAGCAAGCAUGGGAUGGACCUAAGCCCCCUUCAUACAUGUAACUGAUAUGCAGCUUGGUGUUUAUGUGAGGCCCUUAACAACUGAAGGGAUUUCUCCAGCUGGACAGCCUUGUCUAACCUCAACAGGAGAAGAUGCACAUAGUCCUACUGCAACCUAAUAUGCCAAGGCAGCAAGAAUGACACGACCACCAGUUCUUCAAACAGCA